rnacentral:sRNA from 1 species
AUAAAUAAUACGUUGUAUGUGGACAAGGAAGAAGACAACAUUGUAUA